ensembl:snRNA U6 U6 spliceosomal RNA
GUGCUCACUUUGGCAGCACAUAUACUAAAAUUGGAACGAUACAGAGAUUAGCAUGGCCUGUACGCAAGGAUAACACGCAAAUUUGUGAAGCAGUCCAUAUUAAA